rnacentral:misc_RNA from 1 species
UCUCCGUUGGUGAACCGGCGGAGGGAUCAUUACUGGAAUCGCAAGAUCCCACAACCCUGUGAACCUACCGAAACGUUGCCUCGGCGGGUGCCCGGCCCCCGCGCCGGGCGCUGCGCCCGCCGGCAGCCUACUAUACUCUGUCUCUUUGCGUUGGCAUCUCGAGUACAAUCAAACAAGUUAAAACUUUCAACAACGGAUCUCUUGGUUCUG